UACGAAGGGGGCUAGCGUUGUUCGGAAUUACUGGGCGUAAAGGGCGCGUAGGCGGUACUUCAAGUCAGGCGUGAAAGCCCCGGGCUCAACCUGGGAACCGCGCUUGAGACUGGAGAACUAGAGUUCGGGAGAGGAUGGUGGAAUUCCCAGUGUAGAGGUGAAAUUCGUAGAUAUUGGGAAGAACACCGAUGGCGAAGGCACUUUACUGGGCUAUUACUAACACUCAGAGACGAAAGCUAGGGUAGCAAAUGGG
rnacentral:rRNA from 1 species